rnacentral:rRNA from 1 species
UAAGACGUAGGGUGCGAGCGUUGUCCGGAUUUAUUGGGCGUAAAGAGCUCGUAGGCGGCUCGUCGCGUCGUCCGUGAAAACACGGGGCUCAACCUCGUGCUUGCGGUUGAUACGGGCGGGCUGGAGUUCGGUAGGGGAGACUGGAAUUCCUGGUGUAGCGGUGAAAUGCGCAGAUAUCAGGAGGAACACCGGUGGCGAAGGCGGGUCUCUGGGCCGAUACU